AGGAGGCUGGUCGGGAGGCGGCGGGGCCCAGGCACCGGCAGGGGAGGGGGAGGGCGGGGAGAAGGGCGGAGCUCCCGGGAACGCGCGCGCGCGAGGCCGGAGGGGGAUGUCUCCGCGCUCCUGGGGCGACCCCGACCGGCACCUAGCGUGCCCACAGACCCGCAAAGCCUGGGAAGAAACCUGGGACAAGCUAAGAUGGCCCUCACCUGGCAGCUCCUCAAGUGGCCGGGAAGAAAGAGCGGCCACUACCGCAGCAGCCCAACUCUAUUAACCGACACUUUCCCCACCCCUCCCACCCAGCUGGACCCAGCCUCCCUCCUCAGCAGCCCCCUCCCCUUCAACGCCUUCCGCCCCCCCACCUUCCACUCCCCUAGCCUUUCGGCGUCGCCAAAUAACGCGAGAUCGCUGCCAAAGGCCGCGAGAGUUCGGACGGCUAGGAAGGGGGAAUAACGGAAGAACGAGAGUCGGGGGGAGGGGAGAGGACGGAGAGAAGGCCUGCGCUGGAGCUGGCCCUAAAGAUCUUGAGAACCAAAGGAGGAGUGAAACUCUGAAGACCUCUCCUUUCCCGUUCUGGGCUUUGGCUGACUUUCAAAGUCAGGGGGUGAAUGAAGGAGAUGGAGGGAAAAGACAAGGAGGAAGUUGUCUCACCAGUAACAAGCUCUUACUGUCUUGGUGGCCUCCCUCGGCCUUGACCUCCCCGGCUGUUCAAGCAUUACCAGCCCCAUUCCAUGAACAUCAAAGAGAUGGAGGAAGUUCCCGGAAUACCCAGGUUCUAUUGUACAGAGAAUGACGCCCUCUAUCCAUCAAACUUCUGAAGGCAGACUGUAUUCCUGUGAU
rnacentral:lncRNA from 1 species